rnacentral:miRNA from 1 species
AGUUUGAUUUGAGUCCCUCUGACG